AGCUCUGGAGCCGGGAUUCUAGGUUCCAACCUGGCUUGGGCACUCACUAGCUCUAGGACUUUGGACAAGUUAUUGAACCUCUCUGAGCACUAAUUUUCUCAAUAUCUACCUCAUAGGGUUGGCUGAGAGGAUCGAAUGCGUUACUUGCAUUUAGAACAGUACCUGGAACAGAAUAGGAGCUACAGAAGCAUUAGCUCUCACUGUCGCCUUAAGGCAAUAAUCUUGUCAAAUGCCUAUUAAAAAAAAAUAGCCCCUAGAGAGCCCUUCCCAAUGUAGGCACACAGUGUGUGUCAAAAAUACUUCCCAACAGGUAUUUCCCACAAAGGUGUGGGAUGUCUGAGAAGCUAAGUGCUCCUGUGGUUAACAAACCUGGUGACAAAGGAGACUGUGUCAAGCCUGAACAAAGGAACAAGAGCUCCGAUAUACUUUAAUCCUCUUCCCUGGAGGCCUCACAUCAACACUGUCCACAGUCUAGUUCCUGUUACAGCUGGAAUGGAGCAGAUGGCCGGUGGUUUUACACUUAUCUUACUUGAUCGUCACACAAGGGCAGAUGGGGCUGGUAGGACAGAAAAUGACCCCAAUUUGACUCAAAGAAAUUGAGACUCAAGGGGUCCAGUGGCCUGCGAGGUUACAAGCCAGUAUUUCCUCCAGACGUCACGGGGAAAGGCACCUGUAACAUCUGCCUCUCCUGGAGGCCGCUUCUUGGUCAUCACUGAUGUCCCUGACCGCUGUGCCUGGCUUGCUGUCUUCCUAUCACCGCUCACCACCCCCUUUGCUGGCUCUUCCCUCCUUCCUACUUUAAUUUUGAUGGCUGUUUCUCCACUUGAGCCUUGGCCUUCUCCCUGCCCAAUCCUCCGUGCUGAUCCAGCCCAUGUUUCAAAUUCCCCUUCCGUGCAGCAGCCUCCCAAAUCUGUCAGCAGGCUGACCCGUCGCCUGAGUCACAGCCCUCGUUUCCAACUGUUUCAAGCAUCUCAUAUGAGGUGGCCCCAAACACCUGAAACCCGAGCCGACCCCUCUGGUGUCUCCUCCUCCUCCUCCCACCAACUUUUCUUCCUGUCUUCCUGGCUCUGCAUUCCCAGCAGCCUGUGGAACUCAUACCGAAUACCCGCCCCCAGCUCUCCUGCAGCCAAUCAGCUAUCGCACUUGGUGCAGGUGAGAGUGGCAACGUUUCUCACACCUACUUCCUUUCUGUUCCCUGCACUGGGUCCCAUCCCCUCCAUGUACAAUAGCUGCCUGGCAGGUCUCCUACUUCUAGCAACUCCCUGCUCCUGCAGUCCUUCCGUGACCUUCCUGAUGGGGAGAUCCUCAAGACUUUUCCCAGGAGCUCGGGGUUCCUGAGGCCCAGAAGAAGAGGACAGAGUUUUAAUGGAGACAAGAGGCAGAGAAGAAAAACUUACUGUAAAGGACAUGCAUGGAAUAAAACAGCAGUAUUUGACAAAAUACAGAAAAGACCUAAGUUCUAGCUUCAACUGCACUAGGACAAGAAGCAGAUGAACAUGUACAGCCAGUAUUGGGCCACCAUGCCCGUCCCACCUAGACUCAUACCUUGUCUCAUCCACUC